GGUUAAGCGAAUAAGCGUACACGGUGGAUGCCUAGGCAAUCAGAGGCGAUGAAGGACGUGCUAAUCUGCGAAAAGCGUCGGUAAGGUGAUAUGAACCGCUAUACCCGACGAUAUCCGAAUGGGGAAACCCAGUAUCCAAUGGAUACUAUCAUUAACUGAAUCCAUAGGUUAAUGAGGCGAACCGGGAGAACUGAAACAUCUCAGUACCCCGAGGAAAAGAAAUCAACCGAGAUUCCCCUAGUAGCGGCGAGCGAACGGGGAGCAGCCCAGAGUCUUAAUCAAUAGCAGUGUCAGGAGAACGGUCUGGAAAGUCCGGCAGUAAAGGGUGAUAGCCCCGUAUCUGAAGAUGCUGUUGUUGUGAACUCGACGAGUAGGGCGGGACACGUGUUAUCCUGUCUGAAUAUGGGGGGACCAUCCUCCAAGGCUAAAUACUCCUGAUUGACCGAUAGUGAACCAGUACCGUGAGGGAAAGGCGAAAAGAACCCCGGCGAGGGGAGUGAAAAAGAACCUGAAACCGUGUACGUACAAGCAGUAGGAGCCCCAUCACUCAAGUGCCUCGCACUGAGUGAUGCAAGAACAUCACCGAAAAUAGCGCCGAAUUUGCUAACAAGGUUGGUCGAUUUUUUCAAGCCGUCGCGCAGUGUACCUAGAAGUACACGAGCAACGGAAGUUAAAAAAUCGGGCAAGAUUGAACGCAAAGGCAAGCGGGACAUUUGAGGAUGGGGUGACUGCGUACCUUUUGUAUAAUGGGUCAGCGACUUAUAUUCUGUAGCAAGGUUAACCGCAUAGGGGAGCCGUAGGGAAACCGAGUCUUAACUGGGCGAAUGAGUUGCAGGGUAUAGACCCGAAACCCGGUGAUCUAUCCAUGGGCAGGUUGAAGGUUGGGUAACACUAACUGGAGGACCGAACCGA
rnacentral:rRNA from 1 species